GCAUAGACGAAUUCUGCGUUGGCUUGACUGUGGCCAGUGCAGUCAGACACUAUGCUAAAGCAUAUUCUCUCCAGAAACACUGCUCGUGGUGUGCCGGAUCCAGAGUUGGCACCAUCCCAGAGAGAACGAGA